CGCCCCACGGCCCGGUGGGGAGCGCGUGUCUGGGUCACAUGAGCCGCCCGCCCGCCAGCCCGGGCCCGGCCCCCCGCCGCCCCCGCCGUCCCCGCCGCUGCUGCCCGCCGCCACCGGCCGCCCGCCCGCCCGGCUCCUCUGGCCGCCUCCGCUGCGCUGCGCUGCGCUGCCUGCACCCAGGGCUCGGGAGGGGGCCGCGGAGGAGCCGCCCCCCGCGCCCGGCCCCCGCCCGCCGCGCCCGGGCCCGGGCCCGCGCCAUGGGGCUCUGGCUGCCGCCGCCCCCCGCGCCGCCGGGCUAGGGCGAUGCGGGCGCCCCCGGCGGGCGGCCCCCGCGGGCACCAUGAGCCCUCUGCUCCGCCGCCUGCUGCUCGCCGCGCUCCUGCAGCUGGCCCCCGCCCAGGCCCCUGUCUCCCAGCCUGAUGCCCCUGGCCACCAGAAGAAAGUGGUGUCAUGGAUAGAUGUGUAUACUCGCGCUACCUGCCAGCCCCGGGAGGUGGUGGUGCCCCUGACUGUGGAGCUUAUGGGGACCGUGGCCAAACAGCUGGUGCCCAGCUGCGUGACUGUGCAGCGCUGUGGUGGCUGCUGCCCUGACGAUGGCCUGGAGUGUGUGCCCACUGGGCAGCACCAAGUCCGGAUGCAGAUCCUCAUGAUCCGGUACCCGAGCAGUCAGCUGGGGGAGAUGUCCCUGGAAGAACACAGCCAGUGUGAAUGCAGACCUAAAAAAAAGGACAGUGCUGUGAAGCCAGACAGCCCCAGGCCCCUCUGCCCACGCUGCACCCAGCGCCACCAGGGCCCUGACCCCCGGACCUGCCGCUGCCGCUGCCGACGCCGCAGCUUCCUCCGUUGCCAAGGGCGGGGCUUAGAGCUCAACCCAGACACCUGCAGCUGCUGGCACCUGGAGCUGUGUAAGCAAGUCCAACAUUCUAACUCAGGAGUCAGAUACAGGAGGGACGAUGCCAGCAGAGGAUGUCAAGGGCUGUGGUGAGGGGCACCUGGCCUCGUCUUUCAGAGGUCAGAGAUCUCUUGGAGGAGGUGACAUCUGCCUGGAAUAGAAAUGUGGGACACAGCUUUUCCAGCUUGCAGUUCGGGCCUUCCCAGAAGCCCCUGUGGUGCCGGAAGCUGCGAAGGUGACACAUGGCUUUUCAGACUCAGCAGGGUGACUUGCCUCAGAGGCUAUAUCCCAGUGGGGGAACAAAGAGGAGCCUGGUAAAAAACAGCCAAGCCCCCAAGACCUCAGCCCAGGCAGAAGCUGCUCCAGGACUUGGGCCUCUCAGAGGGCUCUUCUGCCAUCCCUUGUCUCCCUGAGACAGUCAUCAAACAGGACAGAGUUGGAAGAGGAGACUGGGAGGCAGCAAAAGGGGUCAUAUACCAGCUCAGGGGAGAAUGGGGUACUGUCUCAGUUUCUAACCACCCUGUGCAAGUAAGCAUCUUACAACUGGCUCUUCCUCCCCUCAAUAAGAAGACCCAAACCUCUGCAUAAUGGGAUUUGGGCUUUGGUACAAGAACUGUGACCCCCAACCCUGAUAAAAGAGAUGGAAGGA